UACGUAGGGUGCGAGCGUUGUCCGGAAUUACUGGGCGUAAAGAGCUCGUAGGUGGUUUGUCGCGUCUGCUGUGAAAUCCCGAGGCUCAACCUCGGGUCUGCAGUGGGUACGGGCAGACUGGAGUGCGGUAGGGGAGAAUGGAAUCCCUGGUGUAGCGGUGGAAUGCGCAGAUAUCAGGAGGAACACCGAUGGCGAAGGCAGUUCUCUGGGCCGUAACUGACGCUGAGGAGCGAAAGCGUGGGGAGCGAACAGG
rnacentral:rRNA from 1 species